rnacentral:sRNA from 1 species
UUUGUUAAUUUCUUGAGGUUCGAUUUCUAUCUACAUAUACAUUUUUGCAGCCACUUUAACAAAUAAAUCCCCUACUUGACACUUAUUUACAAUGGCAUGUCAUUAACAUUUAUU